rnacentral:rRNA from 1 species
UACGAAGGGGGCUAGCGUUGCUCGGAAUCACUGGGCGUAAAGCGCACGUAGGCGGAUUGCUAAGUCAGGGGUGAAAUCCUGGAGCUCAACUCCAGAACUGCCCUUGAUACUGGCGGUCUCGAGUCCGGGAGAGGUGAGUGGAACUGCGAGUGUAGAGGUGAAAUUCGUAGAUAUUCGCAAGAACACCAGUGGCGAAGGCGGCGACCUGGUCCGUGACUGACGCUGAGGCGCGAAAGCGUGGGGAGCAAACAGG